AGUGAACGCUGGCGGUAGGCCUAACACAUGCAAGUCGAACGGCAGCACAGUAAGAGCUUGCUCUUACGGGUGGCGAGUGGCGGACGGGUGAGGAAUACAUCGGAAUCUACUUUUUCGUGGGGGAUAACGUAGGGAAACUUACGCUAAUACCGCAUACGACCUACGGGUGAAAGCAGGGGAUCUUCGGACCUUGCGCGAUUGAAUGAGCCGAUGUCGGAUUAGCUAGUUGGCGGGGUAAAGGCCCACCAAGGCGACGAUCCGUAGCUGGUCUGAGAGGAUGAUCAGCCACACUGGAACUGAGACACGGUCCGGACUCCUACGGGAGGCAGCAGUGGGGAAUAUUGGACAAUGGGCGCAAGCCUGAUCCAGCCAUACCGCGUGGGUGAAGAAGGCCUUCGGGCUGUAAAGCCCUUUUGUUGGGAAAGAAAAGCAGCAGGUUAAUACCCCGCUGUUCUGACGGUACCCAAAGAAUAAGCACCGGCUAACUUCGUG
rnacentral:rRNA from 1 species